rnacentral:rRNA from 1 species
UACGAAGGGGGCUAGCGUUGCUCGGAAUCACUGGGCGUAAAGGGUGCGUAGGCGGGUCUUUAAGUCAGGGGUGAAAUCCUGGAGCUCAACUCCAGAACUGCCUUUGAUACUGAAGAUCUUGAGUUCGGGAGAGGUGAGUGGAACUGCGAGUGUAGAGGUGAAAAUUCGUAGAUAUUCGCAAGAACACCAGUGGCGAAGGCGGCUCACUGGCCCGAUACUGACGCUGAGGCACGAAAAGCGUGGGGGAGCAAACAGG